AGUCGCGUGAAGGAUGACUGUCUUAUGGAUUGUAAACUUCUUUUAUACGGGAAUAACAAGAGCCACGUGUGGCUCCCUGCAUGUACCGUAUGAAUAAGCAUCGGCUAACUCCGUGCCAGCAGCCGCGGUAAUACGGAGGAUGCGAGCGUUAUCCGGAUUUAUUGGGUUUAAAGGGUGCGUAGGCGGCCUGUUAAGUCAGCGGUGAAAUCUAGGAGCUUAACUCCUAAAUUGCCAUUGAUACUGGCGGGCUUGAGUGUAGAUGAGGUAGGCGGAAUGCGUGGUGUAGCGGUGGAAUGCAUAGAUAUCACGCAGAACUCCGAUUGCGAAGGCAGCUUACUAAGGUACAACUGACGCUGAAGCACGAAAGCGUGGGUAUCAAACAGG
rnacentral:rRNA from 1 species